GCAUGUUUCAGUUCCCGUGAAAAAUGGAGGAUAGGAAACGUUUCAUGAGGAAUCGAUGCCGCUGUUCCUCUGUACCGAACGCCCCCGAAGGAAAGAUAUCCAUAGGAAAAGAAACCUCCACAAUUCCUGUGAAAUUCCUUUGUACCGAACACAGCCUAAAGAGAGACCUCUUUACUCUCUUCUUCAGAAUGAGCGAGGUGUUUGUGCACCACUCUGGUCCAGGCUUGACUUCUUUGUAUAGUCCUGUCUGGUUCCCUCUAGUCCUCUUUCCUUGUGUGCAUUCCCCCUCUAGUAUAGCUCCAUGCAAUUAUGUCCCCUUUCAAUAAAGUUUGUCAGGGCUUCUCCUACAGUUCUCCACCAAAAAGAAGUGGUUGAACCUUUCUGUCUGCUUGUAAUAUCUUAAAUGCUUUAUUAUAGCUUUCAUUCAGACUAAGGAAAAUUCAAAUUUGCUUUCUGCUGCUCUUUGAGAUCAGUAAUAGGUUUCUCUUCUUAGCGUAGGGUUUAGCAUCUUCUGUGGUAUAUUCUGCUGUACAACACUUUGUUUCCGUCUUAUAAUGAAAUGAAGAAGGGAUGCUAUCUCAUAUCCAAAAAAGAGGAUGAAUGAUAGAAUGUAGCCAAAUGGAAACAGUGAAACAUAAAUGCAAUUCAUGGAUGAGCAAUAUAAAAGUCAUAGUAGCGGUCUAAGACAACUAUUUUGAGACUGCAUGUUUACACAAGGAAAACAAAUAUAGAAGCUGCACCACCCAUUGAGUAUCUGUUGAAUGUUUGCUUGUAGCAAGACAAUAAAAUAGAUUCUGAAAAGAUAGAACUUACAC
rnacentral:lncRNA from 1 species